rnacentral:rRNA from 1 species
ACGUAGGUGGCAAGCGUUGUUCGGAAUUAUUGGGCGUAAAGGGCACGUAGGCGGUUUGUUAAGUCGGCUGUGAAAGCCCUGGGCUCAACCUGGGAACGGCAUUGGAUACUGGCUUACUAGAGUGCGGUAGAGGGUAGUGGAAUUCCCGGUGUAGCAGUGAAAUGCGUAGAUAUCGGGAGGAACAUCUGUGGCGAAGGCGACUACCUGGACCAGCACUGACACUGAGGCACGAAAGCGUGGGGAGCAAACAGGA